GACGAACGCUGGCGGCGUGCUUAACACAUGCAGGUCGAACGGAAAGGCCCUGCUUUUGUGGGGUGCUCGAGUGGCGAACGGGUGAGUAACACGUGAGUAACCUGCCCUUGACUUUGGGAUAACUUCAGGAAACUGGGGCUAAUACCGGAUAGGAGCUCCUGCUGCAUGGUGGGGGUUGGAAAGUUUCGGCGGUUGGGGAUGGACUCGCGGCUUAUCAGCUUGUUGGUGGGGUAGUGGCUUACCAAGGCUUUGACGGGUAGCCGGCCUGAGAGGGUGACCGGCCACAUGGGGACUGAGAGACGGCCCAGACGCCUACGGGAGGCAGCAGGGGGGAAUAUUGCACAAUGGGCGGAAGCCUGAUGCAGCAACGCCGCGUGCGGGAUGACGGCCUUCGGGUUGUAAACCGCUUUCGCCUGUGACGAAGCGGGAGUGACGGUAAUGGGUAAAGAAGCACCGGCUAACUACGUG
rnacentral:rRNA from 1 species